UAACGGCUGAACCAGCAACUUGGAAGAAUAAAUGUAAUGAUACUAAAAAUAUCAUUAUUUUUCUAAAUAGAAUAAUGAUUAUGACAAUUUUCUAUUUAUAAGUCUUGACCAAAUUACGUGCCAGCAGUCGCGGUAAUACGUAGAAGACGAGUGUUAGUCAUCUUGACUAGGUUUAAAGGGUACCUAGACGGUAUUAUAAAUCUGUUAAGGAUAUUUUUUUACUAGAGUUUUAUAUGAGAAAGGGAGAACUUUUGGAGUAGAGAUAUAAUAUGCUGAAACCAAAGGGACUGGUAACGGCGAAGGCGGCUUUCUAUGUAAAAACUGACGUUGAGGGACGAAGGCUUGGGUAGCGAAAAGGAUUAGAUACCCUAAUAGUCCAAGCAGAAAAUUAUGAAUGCCAUAAGUUAGAUUUAACAUUUUUUAUAUAUUAAAUAUAUUAGAUAAAAUGUUAAUUAUAUUUAACAUAUAAAUGAAAGUGUAAGCAUUCCACCUUAAGAGUAAGAUGGCAACAUUGAAACUGAAAUCAUUAGACCGUUUCUGAAACCAGUAGUGAAGU
rnacentral:rRNA from 1 species